rnacentral:tRNA from 1 species
GCCGUCGCGGUGUAGUGAUCAGCACGCUCGGCUCGUAUUCGAGAGGCCUCUGGUUCGAGUCCUGACGACGGCA